rnacentral:sRNA from 1 species
AUCAAAGUUCUUUCUCUUCUUGGACUUUUAAAUUGUGGCUACCUAAAUAGAGUAUCUGGCAAGAGUAAGAUUAAGCAGUAAUUUGUUCCAAAGAAGAAUCUUCUACCAAGGAGCAACUUUAAAGAAUGAAAUUAACUUUCCUCUUGGGCCUGUUGGCUCUUAUUUCAUGUUUCACAUCAGCGGUUGCUAAGCAUGAAGGGACAGUGGACUGCAGGAAGAGGACACAGGGCAGCCCAGUGAGAGUCAAAGAUUCUCCAGAAGACCAUAUCUACCUGGCCAGCUGCCACCACCUCCACCCUACAGGCCAAGAUGGGUUCCACCAAGUCCCCCACCUCCCUAUGGCUCAAGACUUAAUUCACCACUUUCUCUUCUCUUUGUCCCAGGGCGAGUUCCACCAUCUUCUCUCUCUCGAUUUAGCCAAGCAGUCAUUCUAUCUCAACUCUUUCCAUUGGAAUCUAUUAGACAACCUCGACUCUUUCCGGGUUAUCCAAACCUGCAUUUCCCUCUAAGACCUUACUAUGUAGGACCUAUUAGGAUAUUAAAACCCCCAUUUCCUCCUACUCCUUUUUUUCUUGCUAUUUACCUUCCUAUCUCUAAUCCUGAGCCCCAAAUAAAUAUCACCACCGCAGAUACAACAAUCACCACAAAUCCCCCUACCACUGCAACAGCAACCACCAGCACUUCCACAAAACCCACAAUGACGGUCAGCUCCUCAACAGUACCUAUCUCUUCAACACCAGAGCCU